AAAGUGCCUGAAGUUCCCAAAGCUGUCCCAGAAGAGAAAGUGCCAGUUCCCAAAAAGGUGCCGCCUCCACCAGCCAAAGUGCCUGAAGUUCCCAAAGCUGUCCAGAAGAGAAAGUGCCUGUUCCCAAAAAAGUGCCACCUCCACCAGCCAAAGUUCCCAAACCUGUCCCAGAAGAGGAAGUGCCAGUUCCUAAAAAAGUGCCAGCUCCACCAGCCAAAG